UACGUAGGGGGCAAGCGUUGUCCGGAUUUAUUGGGCGUAAAGAGCGUGUAGGCGGCCAGACAGGUCCGUUGUGAAAACUCGAGGCUCAACCUCGAGAUGUCGAUGGAAACCGUCUGGCUAGAGUCCGGAGGAGGAGUGUGGAAUUCCUGGUGUAGCGGUGAAAUGCGCAGAUAUCAGGAAGAACACCUAUGGCGAAGGCAGCACUCUGGGACGGUACUGACGCUGAGACGCGAAAGCGUGGGGAGCGAACAGG
rnacentral:rRNA from 1 species